rnacentral:lncRNA from 1 species
ACUAACUCUAGUGUUCAAAUACUUUAACAUUCAUACCCUCUUCAACGUUACACACACUAACUCUAGUGUUAAAAUACUUUAACAUUCAUACCCUCUUCAACGUUACACAUACUAACUCUAGUGUUAUCUUUGCAUUUACUAAUGCCACUCGAUCUACAUAUCAUAGUGUCACCUUUAUUCUUUUACCUCAACUAGGUUUUCAUGUUACAUCUCAUGCAUAUAUAGGGUUCUUAGGUUCUCAACCAUCUCAUAAUGCAAUUGUACUCACAACAUGCAAUAUUCACAUGAUCAUCAUCUCAUUUUCCCUACAAU